GAUGAAGAACGUAGCGAAAUGCGAUAAGUAGUGUGAAUUGCAGAAUUCAGUGAAUCAUCGAAUCUUUGAACGCACAUUGCGCCCUUUGGUAUUCCUUAGGGCAUGCCUGUUCGAGCGUCAUUUAAACCUUCAAGCUCAGCUUGGUGUUGGGUGACUGUCCGCCGCCUCCGGGCGGUCGGACUCGCCACAAAUUGAUUGGCGGCCGGUACUUUGGCUUCGAGCGCAGCAGAAACGCGAACUCGAGGCCGUCGUCCUGGCUCCCAGAAGCUAUCUUCACAAUUUUGACCUCGGAUCAGGUAGGGAUACCCGCUGAACUUAAGCAUAUCAAUAAGCGGAGGA
rnacentral:misc_RNA from 1 species